AAAAGUAGGGGAUCGAAAGACCUUAUGCUUUAAGAGCGGCCGAUGUCUGAUUAGCUAGUUGGUGAGGUAAUGGCUUACCAAGGCGACGAUCAGUAGUUGGUCUGAGAGGACGACCAGCCACACUGGGACUGAGACACGGCCCAGACUCCUACGGGAGGCAGCAGUGGGGAAUUUUGGACAAUGGGCGCAAGCCUGAUCCAGCAAUGCCGCGUGAGUGAAGAAGGCCUUCGGGUUGUAAAGCUCUUUCAGUUGAGAAGAAAAAAUUGUGACUAAUAAUCACAAUUGAUGGCGGUAUCAACAG
rnacentral:rRNA from 1 species